GACGAACGCUGGCGGCGUGCUUAACACAUGAAGUCGAACGGUAAGACCCUUCGGGGUACACGAGUGGCGAACGGGUGAGUAACACGUGGGUGAUCUGCCCUGCACUUCGGGAUAAGCCUGGGAAACUGGGUCUAAUACCGGAUAGGACCCUGGGAUGCAUGUCCUGGGGUGGAAAGCUUUUGCGGUGUGGGAUGGGUCCGCGGCCUAUCAGCUUGUUGGUGGGGUGAUGGCCUACCAAGGCGACGACGGGUAGCCGGCCUGAGAGGGUGACCGGCCACACUGGGACUGAGAUACGGCCCAGACUCCUACGGGAGGCAGCAGUGGGGAAUAUUGCACAAUGGGCGCAAGCCUGAUGCAGCGACGCCGCGUGAGGGAUGACGGCCUUCGGGUUGUAAACCUCUUUCAGCACCGACGAAGCGCAAGUGACGGUAGGUGCAGAAGAAGGACCGGCCAACUACGUGCCAGCCGCCGCAGUAA
rnacentral:rRNA from 1 species